UUUGCUUCUCGGCCUGUUGACUAAGAUCAAGUGAAGUAUCUGUUCUUAUCAGCUUAAUAGUUAACUUUCUAGCAGCUACUGACACGUUUGAUAAGGCAUCUUCCUCGGGGGAGGGGGGACCAUCA
rnacentral:snRNA from 1 species